GACGCGGCAGGACAGACCCGGGAUGGGUAAGCGCUUGGUCAGGAUGGCCACGCAGCAGGGAUGAAAGGGACACCACAGGACGUGAUAACGGACACCUCCAGGAUGGAGAGAGUGCGGUAACCCGGAUGGUUGCCAGGCCAGGAGGCUGUGGACACACCGAAGGAUCGGGAAGGGGAUAUUCCGAAGGAAAGGAUAAAGUCAGGGAGCGCAGGGAGCGCACAGGUUCAGGGAGUUGAACCACACGACUUGAGGGGACGGCGAAAGCCGUCCCCUUUUCUUCAUCC
rnacentral:other from 1 species